rnacentral:rRNA from 1 species
GAUGAACGCUGGCGGCGUGCCUAAUGCAUGCAAGUCGAGCGAACAGACGAGGAGCUUGCUCCUCUGACGUUAGCGGCGGACGGGUGAGUAACACGUGGAUAACCUACCUAUAAGACUGGGAUAACUUCGGGAAACCGGAGCUAAUACCGGAUAAUAUAUUGAACCGCAUGGUUCAAUAGUGAAAGACGGUUUUGCUGUCACUUAUAGAUGGAUCCGCGCCGCAUUAGCUAGUUGGUAAGGUAACGGCUUACCAAGGCAACGAUGCGUAGCCGACCUGAGAGGGUGAUCGGCCACACUGGAACUGAGACACGGUCCAGACUCCUACGGGAGGCAGCAGUAGGGAAUCUUCCGCAAUGGGCGAAAGCUUGACGGAGCAACGCCGCGUGAGUGAUGAAGGUCUUCGGAUCGUAAAACUCUGUUAUUAGGGAAGAACAAAUGUGUAAGUAACUAUGCACGUCUUGACGGUACCUAAGCAGAAAGCCACGGCUAACUACGU